rnacentral:piRNA from 2 species
GGGGCUGGAGAGAUGGCUCAUCGG